rnacentral:rRNA from 1 species
CCCUACAUGUGUAGGAUAGGUGGGAGGCUUUGAAGACGGUACGCCAGUAUCGUUGGAGCCGUCCUUGAAAUACCACCCUUGUAGUGUUGAUGUUCUAACUUAGUCCCCUUAUCGGGGAUGAGGACAGUGCCUGGUGGGUAGUUUGACUGGGGCGGUCUCCUCCCAAAGAGUAACGGAGGAGCACGAAGGUGGGCUAAACACGGUUGGACAUCGUGUGGUUAGUGCAAUGGCAUAAGCCCGCUUGACUGCGAGAAUGACAAUUCGAGCAGGUGCGAAAGCAGGUCAUAGUGAUCCGGUGGUUCUGAAUGGAAGGGCCAUCGCUCAACGGAUAAAAGGUACUCCGGGGAUAACAGGCUGAUACCGCCCAAGAGUUCAUAUUCGACGGCGGUGUUUGGCACCUCGAUGUCGGCUCAUCACAUCCUGGGGCUGAAGUCGGUCCCAAGGGUAUGGCUGUUCGCCAUUUAAAGUGGUACGCGAGC